rnacentral:rRNA from 1 species
GGAAGGGGUGUAUUUAUUAGAUAAAAACCACGCCCUUUCCGGGGCUUCUUGGUGAUUCAUGAUACUUUACGGAUCGCAUGGCCUUGCGCCGGCGCGGUUCAUUCAAAUUUCUGCCCUAUCAACUUUGAUGGUAAGGUAUUGGCUUACCAUGGUUUCAACGGGUAACGGGAAUUAGGGUUCGAUUCCGGGGAGGGAGCCUGAGAAACGGGCUACCACAUCCAAGGAAGGCAGCAGGCGCGCAAAUUACCCAAUCCCGACACGGGGAGGUAGUGACAAUAAAUACUGAUACAGGGCUCUUUUGGGUCUUGUAAUUGGAAUGAGUACAAUUUAAACCUCUUAACGAGGAACAAUUGGAGGGCAAGUCUGGUGCCAGCAGCCGCGGUAAUUCCAGCUCCAAUAGCGUAUAUUAAAGUUGUUGCAGUUAAAAAGCUCGUAGUUGAAACUUGGGUCUGGCUGGCAGGUCCGCCUCACCGCGUGUACUUGUCCGGCCGGGCCUUCCUUCUGGAGAACCUCAUGCCCUUCACUGGGCGUGUUGGGAACCAGGACUUUUAC